CCAUCUGACUCAACUCCGGUGCAGACCUAAAUGUGAAGGAAGGGAUUGGACAUUAAGAUGAAAGACCAUAAGGCCUUUAUACAUCAAUGACUUAACCAAGAAUGUCUCCCAAACUCCCGAGAAGAGCACUGUUGGAUAUCAUACCUGAGAGACAUUGCAAGAAUGUCAAGGAUCUGGCAUUGUUGGAUGUUGGAGGCCAACUUGGUCUACAGCUCUAGAAAAACUGAGGAUUCACCAGUGCUCUUAGCGAC
rnacentral:lncRNA from 1 species